rnacentral:rRNA from 1 species
AUUGAACGCUGGCGGCAGGCCUAACACAUGCAAGUCGAGCGGAUGAAGGGAGCUUGCUCCUGGAUUCAGCGGCGGACGGGUGAGUAAUGCCUAGGAAUCUGCCUGGUAGUGGGGGAUAACGUCCGGAAACGGGCGCUAAUACCGCAUACGUCCUGAGGGAGAAAGUGGGGGAUCUUCGGACCUCACGCUAUCAGAUGAGCCUAGGUCGGAUUAGCUAGUUGGUGGGGUAAAGGCCUACCAAGGCGACGAUCCGUAACUGGUCUGAGAGAAUGAUCAGUCACACUGGAACUGAGACACGGCCCAGACUCCUACGGGAGGCAGCAGUGGGGAAUAUUGGACAAUGGGCGAAAGCCUGAUCCAGCCAUGCCGCGUGUGUGAAGAAGGUCUUCGGAUUGUAAAGCACUUUAAGUUGGGAGGAAGGGCAGUAAGUUAAUACCUUGCUGUUUUGACGUUACCAACAGAAUAAGCACCGGCUAACUUCGUG